ensembl:lncRNA
CCCCCGCCCCGCCGGGACCUGCCGCCCCCCGGCGCCCGCCCUCAGAAGAUGGCGGUUCCCUCCGGAUCCCCCCCGGCUGCGUGAGGGGAGGGGCGGGCGCUCCCAGGGCCGCGUCCCGCCUUGUGAUCUAACAACGGCAACCGGCACGGAGCCGAGGGCGGGAGGGGGAGCGGUGCGGAGCCCAUCUGGUGCGGAAAGCGGCCCCUCGGGCUGCGGGCAGGUAGCGGGGCGCUGCCACUCGCACGUGUCGGCGGCAGAACGGCAUUUCUUCAGCGAGGUUUGCGAGCCUGGAGUUCAGCAUCUUCCCCUACCUUUUCUUUUGAAUCUGCAAAUGAAAAAGAUCUUCUGGCUUAUUACACAGAGAAGCAUAAAAGUAAAGCCUCAUUAGUAGUGACUGUGCUCCAUAGUUUUGCAACCAGCAAGGCUGUUUGUGCCUUACUUCAUGGAUUUGGAACAUGCCUGUGGCGUACCCAUGGCAGUAAAGCUCACAGUGUUAAAGCAAUAGCUGUGUUGCACACAUCAGUGAGCAGCUGAGGCUGCAGAGCCCACUGCUCCCAAAUAAGCCUUUAUAUCUACAUGCAGUAGUUUAUGUGAUGUAACAUCAUCAGUGCUGUUCUUUAAAAUACUAUGAUGUUUUUUCUUUUGUCUCAUCAUCUUACAGCUCCCUGUUCUCUGUAUGCAGUUGUCACUAAAGUGAAGGAGGUGGCUGGUGACUGUGACCUCAUGGGUACCGUCCGUUUAGCCAUUCCUUGGUGUGGUAAAUUGAAGGCCAAGAAAAAGGUGCAUGGCAGUGAACUAUAGCAUCAAUUAAUAAUAGAUAAAGAAAGAAAAAAAAAAAUAACUCAACUUUUGUGAUUUUCAGAGGAAAGCUUAACUGAAGGCUUAAGACCAAGGACAAUUCAAUUCUGCACAUAAAACAGUUGCUGCCUUCCUUUUUGCCCGGAGGCCACCGCUUGCAAUCUGCCUGCAAUUACCUGUGUCUAGAGGCAGCUUCGGGUUUACUUAGUGAGAAGGUGUUAUUUGAAGUGUGCACACGUGUGCCGCCAACCUUGACUACACAAAAUCUCCUUUACACAUAAGCAGACAAUCAUCUGGCACAGUAUAAAACCCUUAAUUAGCUUAUCGCAAUCACUUUAAGGUGAGUGAAGAAAUGUUUUCUAUCACUGGAUAGCAUUUGUAAAGUGAUACGAGUUCACUGUGCUGAUUGUAGUCAGGUCAGCUCUGAGAUGUUGUUCUCCCUUUUACUAUACAAGGGAGAAAUUGCUGAAAUCACUUUUCCAUUGUAAAGGAAUCGUUUUGCCGCUUGUGAUAAAGAAGUCUCUGUAGUAAGUUGGAUAAAAUUAGGUCACAGCAACAUGCAGUCAGUCUCCAUGUCUGCCAGAUAUUUCAGUUUUGACCUUUACUGUCCACAGCACUGGCAUUAAUUAUAAGAGAGUGUUAACUACUUUUAGUCUUCACAGAAGUCUUUUAGCCAAACUGCUUAUUAAUAUUAACAUGGUGUCUGUUGGUAGCUCAGCGUAGUUUUUCUAAGAUUGUUUGGAAUCUAUUACCGUGAUAACAACCAUCCAAGCAGUGCUAGAUAUUACAUCUGGAAAUCACUUAGCACAAUGAUGCUAUGUCCAUGUGGUAGAGAAUUCUCUUUGCCCUGUGCCUUUCUAUGGAAAGCAUCUGGCUACAAAUACAAGGUAAAAAUGGUAACACUCUGAUAUUUACUAUUUUGUAUUCACUUUCUGGGUUAUGAAUUAGUAACUGUUCUGGGGCAGUGAUGAAAAUAACUUCAGACAGAAAGACAAUAAGUCUGCGUCUUCCUGUAUGGCUGGCUGGAAGUCUGUGAUGUGUGGUGCUGCAUAUCUAAUUGUGGCUUAGCACUUUGGGAAACUGCAAGAGAACUUCCUGAAAGAUGUUGAUCCUGCCCUGCUACAUGGAAGUAGUAAAGAAAAAAUGACAGGAAAGACAAGAAGGUCCAGGUUGCCCACGGAAGGCUGCUGUCUUGAAAUAGAGAAACUCAAUCUGUCUGCACCUGGUAGGAAUAGAUCUUUCACCAAAUAGUACAAGAUCUUUUUCAAGAUGAGUGUCUACUGGAGAUGCGUCAGAUUAUUAUCCCUCAGAAGCAUGAAGAAGAUCACAGGAACAAUAUGGGCUGCAUGGGAGGUCCUCCACAGUAUGCACUGAUUAAAGAAAGAUGUGUGUGCGUUUCAUUCUAUUUUUAUUGCCUGAAAGAAGAAAU